UGGGGAAUAUUGCACAAUGGGCGCAAGCCUGAUGCAGCCAUGCCGCGUGUAUGAAGAAGGCCUUCGGGUUGUAAAGUACUUUCAGUCGGGAGGAAGGUGGUAAGGUUAAUAACCUUAUCAAUUGACGUUACCGACAGAAGAAGCACCGGCUAACUCCGUGCCAGCAGCCGCGGUAAUACGGAGGGUGCAAGCGUUAAUCGGAAUUACUGGGCGUAAAGCGCACGCAGGCGGUUGAUUGAGUCAGAUGUGAAAUCCCCGGGCUUAACCCGGGAAUUGCAUCUGAUAAUGGUCAGCUAGAGUCUUGUAGAGGGGGGUAGAAUUCCAUGUGUAGCGGUGAAAUGCGUAGAGAUGUGGAGGAAUACCGGUGGCGAAGGCGGCCCCCUGGACAAAGACUGACGCUAAGGUGCGAAAGCGUGGGGAGCAAACAGG
rnacentral:rRNA from 1 species